AUAAGUAUGUUUUUGGUUUUGGGUAAAUUCUUAAUAUCCUCAUUAAACCCAAUGUAUAAAAGUAAAAUGGAGCUGAAAAAUUGCCAAACACCUUUUAUUCAGCUCUCAGGAAUGUGAACUGAUAAUAAAAUAUAUUUCUUUUUUUUUUAAAUUGUUUUCACUUUAGAAAAAAAAAAAUCAAAGUCCAUGAACCAACUUUUUUUCCAUUGAAAAAUGUUACAUAAAUUUUCUUAGGAUCUUUAAAUGAUAGAUUAGAGAUUUAAUAAGCUUAGAGGCAUAUGAUAAGUAUGUUUUUGAAUAAUAUGAUUGUGUUAUAUAAUGCUCUGAAAAUAACAUAAAUGCCACCCUUGAAACGAAUUAGAAAAUACAUUACUGAAAUUAAUAUUACGUUCGUAGCCUGUCGUGUCCGAAAAUGAAGAAAAAAUAUGAUGCCUCUUAAUAUUUCAUGACGAGAAUUUAUUUACCGUAUCACGUGUUGUUUGCAUAUUUCAUGUCGUUAUUAACUCAGUAAAUGAAUACCAAGCCAAUUGUGAUUGUGUUACUUAUUUUAUUUUUCAAACGAUUUUCAUGGUUACUUUUGGAGUCCGAUUCGUUACGAACAUAAAUCACCUGGUUGCUAGUACGAUUGAGAUUCACAUGAUGUAUUUCGAUUUCUAUUCUAUUACGUCACCGAUGCUGAACUCCCUAUGUGUAAUUGAACUCGCCCACAGAUUUGCAUUGUGGGAUAGCGAUGGCGGUAAAUACAGUGUCCACAAAACGAUGAUUUCGUUACGAACAUGAUUCGUCGUUAACUGAUGCAGAAAAAUUCAUCAAGGAAGUUUGUGUGGGUGAAUACCUUCUCCAAUUUAUGCUGCGGAAAGGAGACAGAUUAUAUUGGCCCCCUGUGGAUGAAUUCUCUUGGGAGCCAUAUGAUAACAUACAUCGACUUUUGCCAAUACCUGUUUUGUCCAAUUAAGCAGUCUUCCUCUGGAAGACAAUUAUUUUAAUUUUGAAACAUUCACACUCGCUCAUGCUAUUCAAAAUUCAUAUUGAUGUUGCAUUGAAAUAAAUGUUUUCCUUAGCGCUGAAAAAA